rnacentral:rRNA from 1 species
UAGGGAAUCUUCCACAAUGGGCGAAAGCCUGAUGGAGCAACGCCGCGUGAGUGAUGAAGGCCUUCGGGUUGUAAAACUCUGUCAUUCGGGACGAACCGGAGUCUGAGGAACUGCAGACUCUCUGACGGUACCGGAGGAGGAAGCCCCGGCUAACUACGUGCCAGCAGCCGCGGUAAUACGUAGGGGGCAAGCGUUGUCCGGAUUCACUGGGCGUAAAGCGCGCGCAGGCGGUGAUGUAAGUCUGAGGUGAAAACCCGAAGCUCAACUUCGGGACUGCCUUGGAUACUGCGUCACUUGAGGAUAGGAGAGGCAAGGGGAAUUCCACGUGUAGCGGUGAAAUGCGUAGAGAUGUGGAGGAACACCUGUGGCGAAGGCGCCUUGCUGGCCUAUUUCUGACGCUGAGGCGCGAAAGCGUGGGGAGCAAACAGG